UGACCACGAGACCGAUAGCAAACAAGUACCGUAAGGGAAAGUUGAAAAGAACUUUGAAGAGAGAGUUCAAGAGUACGUGAAACCGUUCAGGGGUAAACCUGAGAAACCCGAAAGAUCGAAAGGAGAGAUUCAAUGUUAUCAUUGUCUUCCAUUUAGUGGCGUGCGAUUGACCGGGAUUCGUCCCGCGAUACGCCGUUGGUUUAUGUGUCAGGCGGCGUUGGCAUGCACUUCUUUCUCAGUAGGACGUCGCGACCCGUUUGGUGUCGAUCUACGACCGCGGCGGUAGCCUGUCACGAAUUUAUUCGCGCCAGACCCCGCGUGCUCCGGCCGACUGCCAGACGGUAUAAAUGAUAUGGUAUAGGGUCGCUUUUAAGCGUUCGGCCGGUUGCAAGCACGGACGGUUAUUGGCCGUCGGACCUAGUCCGGCAUCGAUGCCGCCUCGAGCUGUUAGCUACCGUGUUCUUGAACGGACUCUAUUACCGGUCAGCGAUGCUAUUGCUUUGGGUACUUUCAGGACCCGUCUUGAAACGCGGACCAAGGAGUCUAGCAUGUGCGCGAGUUAUUGGGAAAUACAAAACCUAAAGGCGCAAUGAACGUAAAGGUUUGCUUAAGUAAACUGAGGAAUGACAGACCGCAUCCACGGAUGCGUGCUUGCAAUCCCGAGGCGUCUCACUCUCAUUGCGAGAAGAGACGCACUCAGAGCGUACAUGCUAGGACCCGAAAGAUGGUGAACUAUGCCCGGUCAGGUCGAAGUCAGGGGAAAUCCUGAUGGAGGACCGUAGCGAUUCUGACGUGCAAAUCGAUCGUCGGAACUGGGUAUAGGGGCGAAAGACUAAUCAAACCAUCUAGUAGCUGGUUCCCUCCGAAGUUUCCCUCAGGAUAGCUGGCAUUCGAUGAGCGAGUCUCAUCCGGUAAAGCGAAUGAUUAGAGGCCUUGGGGCCGAAACGACCUCAACCUAUUCUCAAACUUGAAAUGGGUGAGAUCUCUGGCUUGCUUGAAUAGUGAAGCCAGAGGUUUGGAUCAGAGUGCCUAGUGGGCCAUUUUUGGUAAGCAGAACUGGCGCUGUGGAAUGAACCAAACGCCGAGUUUAGGCGCCUAAACGACGCUAAUGGGAUACCAUGAAAGGCGUUGGUUGCUUAAGACAGCAGGACGGUGGCCAUGGAAGUUGGAAUCCGCUAAGGAGUGUGUAACAACUCACCUGCCGAAGCAACUAGCCCUGAAAAUGGAUGGCGCUGAAGCGUCGUGCCUAUACUCGGCCGCCAAGGCAUGAGAAACGUUCAUAAUAGUUCGUUUUGACGCCCUGGUGAGUAGGAGGGUCGCGGUGGUGUGCGCAGAAGGGUUUGGGCGUCAGCCUGCCUGGAGCCGCCAUCGGUGCAGAUAUUGGUGGUAGUAGCAAAUACUCCAGCGAGGCCCUGGAGGACUGACGUGGAGAAGGGUUUCGUGUGAACAGCCGUUGCACACGAGUCAGUCGAUCCUAAGCCCCAGGAGAAAUCCUAUGUUGAUGUCGGUGUAUUUUAUUUUGAAUAAAAUUUCACACCCAUCGGGCGAAAGGUAAUCCGGUUCCUAUUCCGGAACCCGGCAGCGGAACCGUUUACAAGUCGGGCCCUCGCAAGAGAGUUCGUCGGGGUAACCCAAAAUGACCUGGAGACGCCGUCGGGAAAUACGGGAAGAGUUUUCUUUUCUGUAUGAGCGUUCGAGUUCCCUGGAAUCCUCUAGAAGGGAGAUAGGGUUUGGAACGCGAAGAGCACCGCUGUUGUGGCGGGUGUCCGUAUCUUCCCCUCGGACCUUGAAAAUCCAGGAGAGGGCCACGGUAGGUGUCGCGCCGGUUCGUACCCAUAUCCGCAGCAGGUCUCCAAGGUGAAGAGCCUCUAGUCGAUAGAUAAAUGUAGGUAAGGGAAGUCGGCAAAUUGAAUCCGUAACUUCGGGAUAAGGAUUGGCUCUGAGGAUCGGGGCGUGCCGGGCUUGGUUGGGAAGCGGGCGUAGGCCGAUGUGCCGGGCCUGGGCAAGGUGAAAUUGUCCUUGUGACUUAGAUCCGAGCUCGGUCCCGUGUCUAGGCCCCCCGCGGAUCUUUCUUGCUGCGAGGUUUCUGUGCCGGCUUCGGUCGGUCAGUCGUACUCUUCGGCCGCCACUCAACGGUCAGCUCAGAACUGGCACGGACUAGGGGAAUCCGACUGUCUAAUAAAAAACAAAGCAUUGCGAUGGCCCUAGCGGGUGUUGACGCAAUGUGAUUUCUGCCCAGUGCUCUGAAUGUCAACGUGAAGAAAUUCAAGCAAGCGCGGGUAAACGGCGGGAGUAACUAUGACUCUCUUAAGUGGUGGGAGUGGUUGGGGUUCUCCGGGACCUCAGCUAGCAAGUGGCCUUCCUCCUCGUGGGUCCCACCGUGAGUACCCCUUCGGAGGGAAACUAAGCCACCUCUGUAAAAUUUUGGGCUUAGGGGCUGCCAACCCUUUCGCCUGUAACUCAAUCGGUGCAACGUCAAAUAAUAAGCCUCGGAACAAUAAUGAAAAUUUAGAAUUAAAUUUGGGUGAACCCACUUUGUUUACCCCCACCGAUUAAUAUAGAAGGUCAUAAUUGUCGAUUCCCUACAUGUAACAAAACAUUUGCAACUGUAGUAGGUCGGGGAGUUCAUGAACAGAAAACACACAAAGAAUGGUAUAAUGAGGAACUUGCCAAAAUAGUGCCAAAGAAAGCAAGGUGGACGGAGGAGGAGCAGAAAAUGAUGGCCAAAGAGGAGGC
rnacentral:rRNA from 1 species